AGGAAUCUACUUCCACUCAAGCGCCCCAAAAAGGCAUCCUUAUUCUUAAGACUCUGGGCAUACUUUACUAUCUGAUGUUGGAGUUUUCAAAGGCGAAGGAAUAUGCCACGAAAGCCCUCAGUCUAGCUGAGGUGUAUCUCAGUGAGGAGGAGCAAGGGGUUAUUCAAGAGUUGCUGAGUGCCAUCUUGGCUGAGGAGAAGCAGCUCACGACCUAGAGGCCACCUUGCUGGUGCUGCCGUGGGCUGUGGGCUGUGGGCUGUGGGCUGACUAGUGGUGCAGAGCUGCUCACAGGUCCUCUGGCCUGCUCCCACCCCUCCCUGGGGACCGCCUGAGGGGCUGUGAUCCUGUCAGCUGGUGACCUAGAGCUUUGGGCGCAGUGUUCAAUAAAAUUUGUUUAUCAUGA
rnacentral:lncRNA from 1 species